CCCUCACGCCGCGGCCCCGCCACUCCCGCCUUCACCCUCAAGCCGCGGGUCCGGCCGCUCCCGCCUUCCCCCUCACGGAGCGCGGCGCCGGCGGCUCCGAGCUGUGAGGGGGGAGCGGGGCGCCCUCGGUGAAAGCGCCUAAAACGCAACGCACAGACCACAGACCUCCCCCCACCUCAGCCCUCUAAUCUAAACGGCACCUUUAGUUUAAACAGAAAUCAAUCUCCGGCCCAAAUAGGCCGGGAUUUGGCUCACCUGCGGCGCCCGUCGCCUGGACCCGGAGGAGGUGCCGGCUGUCUGGAAAACCAGGGUUGAGAAAACCGAGGGAUUUUCUGCAGGCUUGAUGUAACCCGCAGCAGGCUGUUGCAUCAAAGACUAGAAAAAGAACCCGGGACAAAAAUAAUCUUUUAAGUGCGUGCAGCUAAGAUUAGUGCAGCGUGUCAAGAUGUUGCUGAGCGCUACAGAACGAGUCCUCCUGCCUGUACCAACACAGAAAUACUACUUUUCUGACAUCUGCAACCCUGAGUAUCCAAAUUUUAUACCAAAGUGAUGUUUAGGGAUAGGAUCCCACCAUACAAUUUUGGCUUUAAAUUCAAGCUUCCCUCCCUUCUAGAUGUUUGGCUUGAGGGUUUAGAUGUGGCUCGUCAUAAAGACACAAGAUCCAUAUGAAAUUCUGAAUUUGUACUGUGAAUGUGUUCAAACCUGCUGUAUUGGUUUACCUCAUCCCUCUGAGAAAUCCGACCAAAUAGGAGAAUAUAAAAGCAAAAAAGUACAGAACAGGGCUUUUUUCCCCCACAUGCUUUUAUUAAUUUGAUUGUUUAUAGCAGAAAUGCUGCUCCUCCUACCCCUCAGGUAGGAAACGCCACAGCUGACACAAGCCAGUCUCUACCCGGGCAGCAGCAUUAAAUUAUUUAAAGUGCUGGUAGAAAUUUUUCCAAAUCAGUUUCUGCUAUGUUUUAAUCCUGGAAAUGCUUUUCAAGUAAAUAGCAAUGGUGAAGUGGCUUGUGAUAGUAAUUUUGAUAUGCAAAGUGUUCUGUUCUCUCUGCCCUUGCUGGUUUUUCACGUGGGCAUAAUUUUUAGCCUUCAGUGUUAACACCCAAGAUUAAUGGGUAUGUUCCUACUUCUAAGAGUAUUGUUUCAGCUGCUGUUAUACUGAGGCAAAAUCCCCGCACAGAUGUACGAAUAGUUCACUUUGCAGGGUUUAAGUUCACAGCCAUGAAAAUGUUCUUGACUAUUCGUAAUGGAAACUUUCAUUUUAGAGAAACAAAGUUCUUAAAUAUUCUGUGGCAGUCUUCAGCUCAUUUUAUAGGUAAAAUUUUUUGUAGAUGUCUUUGAUUUGCUGUUGAUUUAUUUCCCUCCACCAUUUCUGUCCUUCUAGGAUUAUCUGCAUUUAAUUACACAUUGUGUCAAGGUCAACAAAUUGCUGUCGAGGAUGGGGAUCUCGCUGUGCAAGGCCUGACAAACACCAGAGGAGUUUCUGCCCAAUGCUGCCAUCACAGCCAACGUGCCGAUUUGCUUCCUCAAGAUUUCAGAGUGUGCAUCUGAGAAUUCUGACUGUGCAUCAUAAAGUUUCCCUCAGCAACUGCUAAAACUAUUCACAAGGCACUGCAGCAUGGAGCAGCUCUCAAAGAUGGGAUGGACUUUCAAUACUUAUGCAUCUAGUCAGGAAACACAUCGUGCAGAAUGAAAAAAAAAGAAGAAAUGGCACUUUCAUGUUUCUGUUUGCAAGCUGGAUUGAUCACUCCUCAGCUAUUAGCUACAGAGUCACAGAUGGAUGCUGGUUUGCUGGAAAAUAAAUGAAGCACAAGGAUGACUUCAAACAUUUGCAGGAGCCAUGCUGACACUCAAAAUAUAGAAACAUCAAGUAACUUUCCUGGUGAGAUCAUAAAAGCAGAGCCACAGUGAUCAAAGAAGAAAAUGCAAGACUCUUACUCCAUUCCUAAUACAAGAUCCAUUCUCCUUCUGGGACCAGGAGCCUCCAUGGCACAGAGAUGCUCCCAUAGUCUACAAAUACAGUACAUAAGCUACGGGACCAGAUGGCUCCCACACAUAAUGCUCUGAAUCAUGGCAAGGCUCGAGGUGUUUGUUCUGUGGCACAGCAAACACACGCUGGACCAGGUUAAACCCCCUCUCAGCCACAUAUGGUGCACGCUGUGUGGAGCUGCAGCAGGUGCCUAUGGAUCCACACAGAGGAAGAUCCUUUUCUUCUUGCAGGUUGUCAGGAAAAUGACUGUCAUACCUUCAGCACAAAUAGCAGGGAAUAGAGGCAGUGCAGUAACACAUGGCACAGGACAGAUGCUCAGUGCUUCCUGGGAUGCACAAUGCCUGAUGGCAAGGAAUCCUGGCGGGCCAAGGACAGGAGGGUCUUGUUCCCCCUCUGAUUUCUCCAUGCAGCUUGUGAUUAAACUGGUGCUGACACCUUGCCUGGUGCCUGUUUGCACAGCCAAUAGCCCUGGGCAGGACUUCUGGCCGUAAAGCACCUACUGGAAAAGGAGAGAAUCUCAUUGUUUGAGAGCAUCUUUGCCCCUGGCAUUUGUUAAAUAGAAAAUAAAACUGAUUUUCUCCUCACUUGCCUCACGUAGAUGUGGGGUAGAUUCAAGCUGUGGCAGCCCUGUGAAAUGAGGGUGAAUGGGGAGGUGUUUGCCAAUGGAACAACCAUUGCUCAGGAAGACAAGGCUGGAGGGAUUGCACAGCAUGUGAUGUGUGCUUCAGUGACAAGACCAUAAACACCACCCUGUAGUUGUCCCUCACUGAUCCAUCACACUUCUGAGCACUGAAAAACCCUGUAGUAAUGAAGGUGCUUUUUCAAUACCUAGGAGAUGGCUGUUUCAGAGAAUUCCAGCCUGCCAUGCUGGGGCUCAGCGCAAGCACCAAAUCCCAGGGUGGCUGAGGGAUGUCCUGGAUCGCACGGUGGAUACGGUGUGUGUGCCUCAGGCCACACAAUGAGGGAGCAGCCAAGCAUCUGGCCACUCUCCAAUGGCCACACUCCACCUCAAGUAUUUUCUGAGAUGAGAAAAUUACCCUUUGGCUGUUUUUCAGCUUGCUUUCCUUGGGAUGCAUUUGACAUGCCCUCCUUGUUGGGAGUGACAGGACACCUCGUGAGCAGGUGCUGUACUGUCCCCAUCAGGGACUGGAGCAGUGACCAGGAAUGUCACAACUGCAGCCUGUGCUGAGCAGCUCUGAUGAAGGUUAAACAUGUGCUGCCACCACCUCUGAGGUCAGCGUUGGGCUCACUUUAGCAGUCCUAUAAAUAGAUGACCAAGGUUGACUGAAAAGAGGAUUUGGCUCGGCUGGAUCUUGUUUAGCAUUCCCAAGAGAGGAAGGCAGAUUCUUUUCCCUCUUCUCUUCCAGCCUCUAACCUUGAGUUGGUCUCUGUGGGAAGCAUUAGUGGCAUUUGCCAAAAGAGCUGCCGCCGUGAGCCGGAUGUCCUGCUGUGUCACACAAACCACACGUACACGUCUCUUCAACCUGCUAACCCAGACCUAAUUCCACUAAAGCCUCAAACUAAUUCCUCGCCAGCAAAACUAGGGAAAAAACCCAAACAAACCUUGAGCCUAAUUGCUUGAAAACAGUAGGACACCUAGUGGAUUUAUAGGGAAUAUCUUUGGGAUUAUCAGAAACAUUUUGUCAUUUUCUUGGCAAAACCAACUGUGAAUAUAUUUAUAGAGGAAUCAUUGAAAUAUCGGGGUUUCUAUUUACUAAAUUAAUCUUGUUAUAGCUGUUACAGCCUGCAGUUUUCCUGAAGAAGUUAUU